CCUACGGGGCGCUGCAGUGAGGAAUAUUGGUCAAUGGGCGGGAGCCUGAACCAGCCAAGUCGCGUGAGGGAAGACGGUCCUAUGGAUUGUAAACCUCUUUAGGCGGGGAGCAAUGCCGGGCACGUGUGCCCGGAGGGAGAGUACCCGCAGAAUAAGCAUCGGCUAACUCCGUGCCAGCAGCCGCGGUAAUACGGAGGAUGCGAGCGUUAUCCGGUUUUAGUGGGUUUAAAGGGUGCGUAGGCGGAUUUUUAAGUCAGCGGUAAAAUGUCCGGGCUCAACCCGGGCCGGCCGUUGAAACUGGGGAUCUUGAGUGGGCGAGAAGUAUGCGGAAUGCGUGGUGUAGCGGUGAAAUGCAUAGAUAUCACGCAGAACUCCGAUUGCGAAGGCAGCAUACCGGCGCCCGACUGACGCUGAGGCACGAAAGCGUGGGGAUCAAACAGGAUUAGAUACCCCGGUAGUC
rnacentral:rRNA from 1 species